GACGAACGCUGGCGGCGUGCUUAACACAUGCAAGUCGAACGGAAAGGCCCUGCUUUUGUGGGGUGCUCGAGUGGCGAACGGGUGAGUAACACGUGAGUAACCUGCCCUUGACUUUGGGAUAACUUCAGGAAACUGGGGCUAAUACCGGAUAGGAGCUCCUGCUGCAUGGGGGGGGUUGGAAAGUUUCGGCGGUUGGGGAUGGACUCGCGGCUUACCAGCUUGUUGGUGGGGUAGUGGCUUACCAAGGCUUUGACGGGUAGCCGGCCUGGGAGGGUGACCGGCCACAUUGGGACUGGGAUACGGCCCAGACUCCUACGGGAGGCAGCAGUGGGGAAUAUUGCACAAUGGGCGGAAGCCUGAUGCAGCAACGCCGCGUGCGGGAUGACGGCCUUCGGGUUGUAAACCGCUUUCGCCUGUGACGAAGCGUGAGUGACGGUAAUGGGUAAAGAAGCACCGGCUAACUACGU
rnacentral:rRNA from 1 species